rnacentral:rRNA from 1 species
GAUAGUGGCGCACGGGUGCGUAACGCGUAACCAACCUACCCUUGACUGGGGGAUAGCCCGCCGAAAGGCGGAUUAAUACCGCAUAAAACUGCAGAACGGCAUCGUUUAACAGUUAAAGAUUUAUUGGUCAAGGAUGGGGUUGCGUGCCAUUAGCUAGUUGGGGGGGUAACGGCCCACCAAGGCGACGAUGGCUAGGGGAGCUGAGAGGCUGGUCCCCCACACGGGCACUGAGAUACGGGCCCGACUCCUACGGGAGGCAGCAGUAGGGAAUAUUGGGCAAUGGCCGAGAGGCUGACCCAGCCAUGCCGCGUGCAGGAUGAAGGCUUUCUGAGUCGUAAACUGCUUUUACCAGGGAAGAAAAAAGGGGAUGCGUCCCCUACUGACGGUACCUGGUGAAUAAGCACCGGCUAACUCCGUGCCAGCAGCCGCGGUAAUACGGAGGGUGCAAGCGUUGUCCGGAUUUAUUGGGUUUAAAGGGUGCGUAGGCGG